rnacentral:rRNA from 1 species
AUGCAACAUGGGAGGAAAUUGCAACACUCAGAUGGGAUUGGAGGAAUAAAUGUCAAUACUAUUUGGAGCAAGAUUUGGAAAUUAUCUUGUCCAGCAAAAGUGAAGAUCUUUAUUUGGCGUACCUUACAUGAAACCCUCCCGUGUCGUGUUACACUUGCUAAUAGACAUAUGAAAGUUUCGACCUGCCCAUCAUGUUCGAACGGGCAUGAAGAUACUAAACACUUAUUAUUUUUAUGUCAAAAGGCAAAAGAGGCGUGGGAGAAACUGGGUUUGCGCGAAGCCAUUAAAAAAGCCUGUGCGGUCGAUCGUGCGGGAGAGGCAGUACUUGAAUUUCUAUUUUUUAUGCGUCAACAUGAGCUAUCUACAGUGGGCAUACAGAAUGUUCGCGAACUGAUUGCUAUAACAGCAUGGUAUUUAUGGUGGGAAAGA